CAGGCGGUGCCCUCAAUUCAGCUCCUUCCUUCAGCUGUCUCUCAAUGAGCGUGCGGUAGGCUGCAGGGUCAUUUUCACAGAGAUUAUCCAGCAUGGACCACAACUGGCUGACUUGCUGCAAAACUUCUGUGCUGCUACUGGAGCACAUCUUAAGAUCCAGCCCAAGAAUUCAGCCACUUUGGUGUAAACUCCAGGAUGGUUGGGCUCAGCACAGCCUGUUCCCCAGCUGACGACCCCUACCAGCCUCCACACGUUCUCAUCCUGGCAAACAAGAGGCCCCCCACUGUCCCCCUGGAGAGGGAACGUGUUAGUGUUUUUCGUUGCACAAAUGGAGCAAGAUUGUUAUUGAAGUCUGAGGCCUGAUGCCCGUCGGGUGGUGCACUGCUGGAGCUUACCAUGAGUAGUAGACUGAAAUCCUUUUAACCAGCCUUGGACUCCUUUGGUCCCUGCAACUCCUGCUGUUUUCUCUGAGUGAAAAGGAUGACUGGUAGCCACUGGAUUUUCAAUCACUGAUAAUGUGUCUCCAUCAAGACUCUACAAGAAUUACAGUGGACACAUCAGACCUCAACUUCUUAUUUCAUAAAGUUUUGCU